rnacentral:rRNA from 1 species
UACGUAGGGGGCAAGCGUUGUCCGGAAUUAUUGGGCGUAAAGCGCGCGCAGGCGGUUUUUUAAGUCUGGUGUAUAAACCUUGGGCUCAACUUAGGGAGGCACUGGAAACUGGGAGGCUUGAGUGUAGGAGAGGAAAGUGGAAUUCCACGUGUAGCGGUGAAAUGCGUAGAGAUGUGGAGGAACACCAGUGGCGAAGGCGACUUUCUGGCCUAUAACUGACGCUGAGGCGCGAAAGCGUGGGGAGCAAACAGG